rnacentral:rRNA from 1 species
AACGGCGAGUGAAGCGGCAAAAGCUCAAAUUUGAGAUCUGGCUCCUUAGGGGUCCGAGUUGUAAUUUGUAGAGGAUGCUUCGGGUGCGGCCACGGCCUAAGUUCCUUGGAACAGGACGUCAUAGAGGGUGAGAAUCCCGUCUUGGGUCGUUGGUCCACGCCCGUGUGAAGCUCCUUCGACGAGUCGAGUUGUUUGGGAAUGCAGCUCUAAGCGGGUGGUAAAUUUCAUCUAAAGCUAAAUAUUGGCCGGAGACCGAUAGCGCACAAGUAGAGUGAUCGAAAGGUUAAAAGCACCUUGAAAAGGGAGUUAAACAGCACGUGAAAUUGUUGAAAGGGAAGCGCUUGCGGCCAGACUCAGGCGCAGGGUUCAGCGGGUGCGUGUCACCCGUGCACUCCCUGCCGCCUGGGCCAGCAUCAGUUCUGACGGCCGGUCAAAGGCCCCCGGAAUGUGUCGUCUCUCGGGACGUCUUAUAGCCGGGGGUGCAAUGCGGCCCGUCGGGACUGAGGAACGCGCUUCGGCUCGGAUGCUGGCAUAAUGGCCGUAAGCGGCCCGUCUUGAAACACGGACCAAGGAGUCUAACAUCCACGCGAGUGUUCGGGUGUCAAACCCGUGCGCGCAGUGAAAGCGAACGGAGGUGGGAGCCUUAGGGCGCACCAUCGACCGAUCCUGAAGUCUUCGGAUGGAUUUGAGUAGGAGCGUGGCCGUUGGGACCCGAAAGAUGGUGAACUAUGCCUGAAUAGGGUGAAGCCAGAGGAAACUCUGGUGGAGGCUCGCAGCGGUUCUGACGUGCAAAUCGAUCGUAUAG